AAACCUUUCGGGGUGGAUUAGCGGCGGACGGGUGAGUAACACGUGGGUAACCUGCCUCAAAGAGGGGGAUAGCCUCCCGAAAGGGAGAUUAAUACCGCAUAACAUUAGUUUUUCGCAUGAAGAACUAAUUAAAGGAGUAAUCCGCUUUGAGAUGGACCCGCGGCGCAUUAGCUAGUUGGUGAGGUAACGGCUCACCAAGGCCACGAUGCGUAGCCGACCUGAGAGGGUGAUCGGCCACAUUGGAACUGAGAUACGGUCCAGACUCCUACGGGAGGCAGCAGUGGGGAAUAUUGCACAAUGGGCGAAAGCCUGAUGCAGCAACGCCGCGUGAGUGAUGAAGGCCUUCGGG
rnacentral:rRNA from 1 species